rnacentral:rRNA from 1 species
UACGUAGGGUGCAAGCGUUGUCCGGAUUCAUUGGGCGUAAAGAGCGUGUAGGCGGCCUGAAAGGUCAGCUGUGAAAACUCGAGGCUCAACCUCGAGACGUCGGUUGAAACCAUCUGGCUAGAGUCCGGAAGAGGAGUGUGGAAUUCCCGGUGUAGCGGUGAAAUGCGCAGAUAUCGGGAAGAACACCCGUGGCGAAGGCGGCACUCUGGGACGGUACUGACGCUGAGACGCGAAAGCGUGGGGAGCGAACAGG